rnacentral:rRNA from 1 species
GACGAACGCUGGCGGCGUGCUUAACACAUGCAAGUCGAACGGAGAGGCCCUGCUUUUGUGGGGUGCUCGAGUGGCGAACGGGUGAGUAACACGUGAGUAACCUGCCCUUGACUUUGGGAUAACUUCAGGAAACUGGGGCUAAUACCGGAUAGGAGCUCCUGCUGCAUGGUGGGGGUUGGAAAGUUUCGGCGGUUGGGGAUGGACUCGCGGCUUAUCAGCUUGUUGGUGGGGUAGUGGCUUACCAAGGCUUUGACGGGUAGCCGGCCUGAGAGGGUGACCGGCCACAUUGGGACUGAGAUACGGCCCAGACUCCUACGGGAGGCAGCAGUGGGGAAUAUUGCACAAUGGGCGGAAGCCUGGUGCAGCAACGCCGCGUGCGGGAUGACGGCCUUCGGGUUGUAAACCGCUUUCGCCUGUGACGAAGCGUGAGUGACGGUAAUGGGUAAAGAAGCACCGGCUAACUACGUG